rnacentral:misc_RNA from 1 species
CCGUUGACCGCUCCAUUUCCUUCUCUGGUCAGUCCUAAUUAAUUUGUGUUUGUGUUUUUUUCUGUUAAUUUUGUUUAAUUGUGAAAAUAUUGAAUGCGUUAUAUGUUGUGUAUAUAUUAUGUGUGUGUGUGUGAGCUAAUUUGAUUAUGAAGUAUGAUUUGGAAUGGAAUUAUUGGCUGUGGUGGUCUAUACAGAGCUGUUGUUGAAGCU